rnacentral:tRNA from 1 species
GCACUGGUAGCUCAGUUGGAUAGAGCGCAUGGCUACGAACCAUGAGGUCUGGGGUUCGAAUCCCUACCAGUGCA